AGAAGAAGAAGAAGCCGCGUUUUCGCGACAUCACAGAUCCAUUUGACUACGAGGACGGCUGCGGGUAUUCAACCGGUCGCAAGCGGUUCGGGUCACGGAUCUACGUACCUCAGACACUCUGGGUUCAGUUCGUGUCUGGAACGGAUGUUUAGAGACCUUUAUCUUUGACUUUUUCCUGGUGAUUCCCGGAGACAGUGACCGAACCCCGCGCAGGAUGCUACAUGCUAACAUUUCGAGCUCCAGUCGGGACCGGGCCCCUCCACCUGCGUGUUGUUUAGCGGAAUCAGGUCCUGGUUAGCUGUGUGGUUUGGGCCCUACGGUGUCAGACUGGACCGACCACACGGAGAUUCUCAUCACUGAUGGAUCCUGGGUAACAGUCCUGCAGGAGCCUCCUUGUGUCUUAUUCCAGCUGCAGCAGAAUAUCAUGAUGCUUUGGACCUGUUGGAAGCAUGAAUCUGACUCCCAAAGGUGUUACCUGGGACUGUCACCCACCUGGAAAUGAUGUAAUGAAAGGCCGACUGAAGCUCCACCUCCAGCAGUCUGUUCACAGAGGCGGGGCGGUGACAUAAACGGACCGAAGCGUGUUCUGAUCCAGGUGGGUCAGCUCCCAGGGUUGCAGUUGCUGUAUCCUCACCUGACCCAUGCGAUGCCACUCUGUUCCUCAGGUGAGUCUUCACCUGCAGACGGGAUUCCUGGCAGAGGGGGUUACUUCUGCUGACAAGCACAGAUAACAGCUUCCAGUUUCUCUGGACUGGUUCCCAGUCAGUCCCAGCUGCAGGGAGUUUGCAGCUAACUCCAGGACCUGUUCAGAGCCAGGAUCACUUCUUAACUGGAAUCUGUUGCCAUGGUAACUACGUCUGGGAGGCUCCACCUGUUUGACAUCAGCGACCAGAACCGUGUCUGAACCUACAGAGCAGGUUCAACACAUGCAGGUUUUCAGAGAUCAAGCAAAAGUCAUCUUCAUGUGGAAGAUCUGACUGGUCCUAUGAUUCCAGUCAGCACAGGGUUCUGCCCAUUGGACUCUAGUCCUGUUAGGAUCAGGUCUAUCUCGUAGAGUUCCUUACUUCCUUACAGUCCAAAUAAACCCAUGAGUCAGAACCAGUCCACAUGUUUUCAUCAUGACAUACUGGGCUUCACCCAGUUCAGCUCCUCCAGAAUCUCACUGUGUUGACUGCAUCUGUGAAUGAAACGGUACCAGGAAAUAAAUGUCCACACUGGGAUGUUUCCUGUUGCUCCUCGAAACCAGUUUAACAGCUGUACUUUAAAUUGGGUCAGCUGUACAGUGAGAUGAUGAACCGUCCUCCUACUCUGGGUGGGAGUGUUCUGGAACUGUUCUUUGGAUCUCUAAUCGGACCAUAUUCCCACAUCCAAACCUUUGCAUUAUGUUCUGGAAAUUAAACCCACAAUUGAUAUUAAAGCCCUUUGGCGUUCCUAAAACUAGUUAGCAGUAGGAAGGUCGAAGCUUGGACCCUGAAGCGGGCAGGGAAGAUUCUGGCUGAUCCCUCCCACCCCGGUCACAGACUCUUUGAGACUCUCCCCUCUGGCAGGAGGCUGCGGUCCAUCCGGACCAAAACCUCACGCCACAAGAACA